rnacentral:rRNA from 1 species
CACGUAGGCACCAAGCGUUAUCCGGAUUUAUUGGGCGUAAAGAGCUCGUAGGCGGUUCGGUAAGUCGGGUGUGAAAACUCUGGGCUCAACCCAGAGAGGCCACCCGAUACUGCUGUGACUAGAGUGCGGUAGGGGAGCGGGGAAUUCCUGGUGUAGCGGUGAAAUGCGUAGAUAUCGAGAGGAACACCAGUGGCGAAGGCGGCCUUCUGGACGAUGACUGACGCUGAGACGCGAAAGCGUGGGGAGCAAACAGG